GGGCCCGCACAAGCGGUGGAGCAUGUGGUUUAAUUCGAUGAUACGCGAGGAACCUUACCAGGGCUUAAAUGUAACGGGACAGAUCUAGAGAUAGAUCCUUCUUCGGACUCAUUACAAGGUGCUGCAUGGUUGUCGUCAGCUCGUGCCGUGAGGUGUCAGGUUAAGUCCUAUAACGAGCGCAACCCCCCAUCGUUAGUUGCCAACGAGUAAUGUCGGGAACUCUAACGAAACUGCCGGUGCAAACCGUGAGGAAGGUGGGGAUGACGUCAAAUCAUCACGGCCCUUACGUCCUGGGCUACACACGUGCUACAAUGGUCGGUACAGAGAGCAGCCACUACGCGAGUAGGAGCAAAUCCCCAUAAACCGUGGCUC
rnacentral:rRNA from 1 species